rnacentral:rRNA from 1 species
CAUAGCGACUAUCGUGGCAUAUCAAUAAGCGGAGGAAAAGAAACUAACAAGGAUUCCCUUAGUAACGGCGAGUGAAGCGGGAAGAGCUCAAAUUUGAAAUCUUCAAGGUUCUACCUUGACGAAUUGUAGUUUAUAGAAGUGUUUUCUGUUAGUAGAGUGGCAAAAGUUCUUUGGAAUAGGACAUCAUAGAGGGUGAGAAUCCCGUAUUUGGUCAUUCUUUCUAGCUUUGUGAUACACUUUCAAAGAGUCGGAUUGUUUGGGAAUGCAGUCCAAAAUGGGUGGUAAAUUUCAUCUAAAGCUAAAUAUUGGCGAGAGACCGAUAGCGAACAAGUACCGUGAGGGAAAGAUGAAAAGAACUUUGAAAAGAGAGUUAAACAGUACGUGAAAUUGUCAAAAGGGAAGCGUUUGACACCAGUGUUGUUUUCUCGAAAAUCAAUUAAGAAUGUAUGUAUUUUGUAGAAUUGUAUUGACUUUCAUCAGGCUUUCUGCACUUUUUUCUUAUAACUUUUUUAAUGCACUUUUCGGUUAACAAGUCAACAUCAAUUUCUUUUGUUGUAAAAGAGGUCAUUGAGGAAGGUGGCUUUUUCUUUCGGAGAAAAGUGUUUAUAGCCUUUGUACCUUCUGCAAUCGGAGAGAUUGAGGUCUGCAGCGUAGAUCCUUCGGGGUUAGAUACAUUUGUGCUAAGCUAUAGUUCUUUCAUAGACAACUUGUUGACUAUAGUCAGUCCUGUAGCUUACUCGCUUAUGCUAUUUUACCUACGCUUAGGAUGUUGAUAGUCACAGCGUGUAC